rnacentral:rRNA from 1 species
UACGUAGGGGGCAAGCGUUGUCCGGAUUCAUUGGGCGUAAAGGGUGCGUAGGCGGCGCGGUAAGUCGGGUGUGAAAUCUCGGGGCUUAACUCCGAAACUGCAUUCGAUACUGCCGUGCUUGAGGACUGGAGAGGAGACUGGAAUUUACGGUGUAGCGGUGAAAUGCGUAGAUAUCGUAAGGAAGACCAGUGGCGAAGGCGGGUCUCUGGACAGUUCCUGACGCUGAGGCACGAAGGUCAGGGGAGCAAACGGG